UGUUGUUUGGAAAAUUCUGGAACGGCUUUGUCCCCAAAAGCCGUUCCGAA
rnacentral:sRNA from 1 species